UCUUGACCUGACUUUCCUGAACCAGGAAAGCAGGAAGAGACAAAUCAACAUCACCUCCUCUGGACUGGCUUGGGUUAGACUUUGGUCUUUGGCCUUGCAUUGGGGCUCAUACAAGGGCUGUUACUUCUGGUGCUUCCAGUGUGUCUGAACUAGCAAGCUUGCUUGUGUGCUAAGACUGGAAAUGGGUAUUAGGGUUGUCUGGGUUGGAAGGCUGGAUGCCUAUGUGGCUGACCCUGCUGCACCAAGAUGCACAGCCUCCAUCCCUUCCCUCAGGAAGGACCCCCGGUAGCCGGAGAAGGGGUGAGCGUGAUGAGGUACUUCAACUCUGAAUUCUGCCUUGAGCGUCUCACAGGGAGAUUCAUUAGCUUCAGAGCAUUGACGGGUCCAGGUUCCCUCAGAUGGAGUAAGUGGAGGCCCCUGGGAGUGGACUCCUGGAUCCCUCUCUGAUGCUGCCUCCUGUCCCUUCAUUUCCAGAUCUAGAACUGUCCACUCCACUCCUGGUGGCUCUCUACCUGGGUCCCAAGCUGCUACUGCUGCUCAUCACUGUCUCAGUCAUCUAUGUCCACAGGAAGUAAUGGAUUGGCUGUGAGUUAUGGACAAAGAAGACAGGGCAAGGUGUCCCAGGAGGAAAAUAGCACCCAGGACAAAGGAGACAUGUGGAGAACAUUUCUGGAAUGAUGCGCAGAUAAUGAAAUGUGAACAUGGGUCCACGGCUCCUUCCUUCCUCCCCUGCUACAUGCCAUCCUCGGUCUCUGCUGCCUCCUUCCUUCCCUGAGGGGCCCAGCCUAAGACAAGGAACAACUAGAAGCUUCCACAAAUCUGCCCCAAAUGUCAGCUUCCCCAGAGACCCACCUGCCCACAGUUCCUGCCGCUCCUCUCCUAGUCCUUGAUGCCCCCAGAGCUGGUCUUCAUACCUGGUCCUGAGCAGGGCAAUAGAAUGUCUCUGGAGACUGACACAUGGAUAUCCUACUAGAAUGUGAGAAACAAGUCACAUGUACGCACACCAGGCUAUCUCGUAGCCUUCUCCUGGGGACCAUGGUCAUGAAGUACACACUCAAGUCCAUGUUCUCACAGGUUAUUCCUGCCAACCCUCAGACUCCUAAGCCUUGGUGAGUUCUCCAAUGUCUCUCGAAUACAAAUGAAUCCCAUCCUGGUUGGAAGAAGAGAAGGGAUUCUCCUCCCUCUUUGCCUACAUGUCCUUCUACUCAGACCCACAGAGGAAUAUCUCUUCCUCUCCCUGUGAUGGGAACACUACCUCUUCUGUCACCUUCAUCCUUCCCGACCUUGUUGCUCACGUACACGUGCUGGCAGUCCAGAAACCUGGACCCUUCCCUGAUUUCCUUCUUCGUAUCCCGUGUUCAAUUCUGCCUUCAUAAAGCUAUGUGCAGUGGCAAGAUGGUAAAUGUUCAACAAUCCACUUCUCAGGAAGAAAAAGAAGCCCGAUUUGUAGCGCUUGUCCACUUCGAUGGUGUCUACACUCCUAAUGUGGCCAAUUUCAAGCUGCCAACAGUGGAACAACUAGCUUGCAAAAUUCCUGGAAAGCUCUCAGGAGCGAGGGCAAGCCUCCUCCCGCCCACCAGGGAGCUCCACCCAGCACCUGCACACUGCUUGCUCCCGGGCUGCCCCCUGGUCCCGGCAACCAGCAUCCCUUCCUGGACCAUUGCCGCGUCCCUAACAGACUCUCCGGGUUCCGCCACAGUGAUCCUAUGGAAAUGGAGGUCAAAUUGUCUCCCUUCCGUGCACGGCUCAGUCUCUCCCCCUUUCAAGCUCUGCUGAUAUGUCUCUUUAUGAAAAACACCUUCCAAAAACCACCCCAUGUAAAAUAUCAAUUCCACUCUCUCACUCUGCAUUCCCACAGCUCAUACCUGAAUUGAACUACUUCCCUAGAACUUAAGAUCAGCCAACUUGAUAAAUGGAAACAGUGCUCACUUUGCACAGUGAUACAGGACCAAAACAAUGACGGUGCAGCGGAAACCAUGAAAAGUGAUGCCAGUAAUCAGUGGGAAAAGUAACGAUUUUUCUGUGACCUUUAGAAACUUUUUUCAACAUCUCAGAAACCCUCCAACAGUCAGUUAUGAAUGUAUCGGGACAUAAAAAAAACAGUAAAACUAUUAUUCACUUGGUAUAUGGGCUUUUGAAACAUUAGAAACGUUGAAAAAGAGAAGAGUUUUAUUUGUUUGCAAAGACUUAUCAAGAGUAGUUUGCAGAGGGCCUGCCUUCCUCUGAUGGCACAGUUUACAAUAGAGAGCAAGUGUCUGGAUUAUCUCCCUCCUUUCUCACUUGGGAUCAGCUCCCAACACUCCAUCCUUGGCACUUCCGAUGCUGUGAAAUCUUUACAACAUUAAUGUGAAUAUUUGCUGACAUCACUUCCUCCGGGACAUUGUCACCCCACCCCACCCCCACUUUCCUCAGCGACGUGGUAAGUUUAUCCUCACUCUCCUCCUCUGGCUGCAUAUCUGGAUGCUUGGGAACAGUAUCCCGGGCCGCAUUCCCAUGAAGGUCUCUGUGCCUUCAUGAACCCCACUCCCAUUGAGUUUGAACUUUACCUCCAGCUUCUUCUCUUCUCGUUUCUCCUGUACCCCUUCAGCUUUAUGCCCAUUCCCUUCUGCCAUUUUUUUCACCUUUGUACGUUAUGCAGGUUCAUCGGGCGGGGGCGGCCCCCCCCCACACCAGGAGACUACACAACCAUGUGCUUUGCUAUUGUGGGAAAUGCGUAUCACAACCCUAAUUAUCCUUGCACCCUGAUCUCAGAUUUUCAUGCCCAGAACUGUGAGAAAUUAGUUCCUGUUGUACAAGGCAUCCAGUUUAUGGUGUUUUCUUAUAGUAGCCCAAGCCAAGACAAAAUCUAAAUAAAUUAUGGACUUUGCUAAAUAAUAAUGUACCAACAUGGGUUCAUUAAAUUAUAGUAGAUGUACCAUACUACUGUAAGACGUCAAUAAGAUGGGAAACUGUGUGCAGCUGUAUAUUGGAACUCUGUAUGAUUGUACCAAGUUUUUUCUAAAUGUAAAACUGUUACACAAAUUAAGGCCAUUAAAAAAAAAAGUCAACAUCUUGUCCUCA